rnacentral:rRNA from 1 species
AACGCUGGCGGCGUGCCUAAUACAUGCAAGUCGGACGCACUUUCGUUGAUUGAAUUAGAGAUGCUUGCAUCGAAGAUGAUUUCAACUAUAAAGUGAGUGGCGAACGGGUGAGUAACACGUGGGUAACCUGCCCAGAAGUGGGGGAUAACACCUGGAAACAGAUGCUAAUACCGCAUAAUAAAAUGAACCGCAUGGUUUAUUUUAAAAGAUGGCUUCGGCUAUCACUUCUGGAUGGACCCGCGGCGUAUUAGCUAGUUGGUGAGAUAAAGGCUCACCAAGGCUGUGAUACGUAGCCGACCUGAGAGGGUAAUCGGCCACAUUGGGACUGAGACACGGCCCAGACUCCUACGGGAGGCAGCAGUAGGGAAUCUUCCACAAUGGACGAAAGUCUGAUGGAGCAACGCCGCGUGAGUGAUGAAGGCUUUAGGGUCGUAAAACUCUGUUGUUGGAGAAGAACGUGUGUGAGAGUAACUGCUCAUGCAGUGACGGUAUCCAACCAGAAAGCCACGGCUAACUA